GGUUAAGCGACUAAGCGUACACGGUGGAUGCCCUGGCAGUCAGAGGCGAUGAAGGACGUGCUAAUCUGCGAUAAGCGUCGGUAAGGUGAUAUGAACCGUUAUAACCGGCGAUUUCCGAAUGGGGAAACCCAGUGUGUUUCGACACACUAUCAUUAACUGAAUCCAUAGGUUAAUGAGGCGAACCGGGGGAACUGAAACAUCUAAGUACCCCGAGGAAAAGAAAUCAACCGAGAUUCCCCCAGUAGCGGCGAGCGAACGGGGAGGAGCCCAGAGCCUGAAUCAGUGUGUGUGUUAGUGGAAGCGUCUGGAAAGGCGCGCGAUACAGGGUGACAGCCCCGUACACAAAAAUGCACAUGCUGUGAGCUCGAUGAGUAGGGCGGGACACGUGGUAUCCUGUCUGAAUAUGGGGGGACCAUCCUCCAAGGCUAAAUACUCCUGACUGACCGAUAGUGAACCAGUACCGUGAGGGAAAGGCGAAAAGAACCCCGGCGAGGGGAGUGAAAAAGAACCUGAAACCGUGUACGUACAAGCAGUGGGAGCACGCUUAGGCGUGUGACUGCGUACCUUUUGUAUAAUGGGUCAGCGACUUAUAUUCUGUAGCAAGGUUAACCGAAUAGGGGAGCCGAAGGGAAACCGAGUCUUAACUGGGCGUUAAGUUGCAGGGUAUAGACCCGAAACCCGGUGAUCUAGCCAUGGGCAGGUUGAAGGUUGGGUAACACUAACUGGAGGACCGAACCGACUAAUGUUGAAAAAUUAGCGGAUGACUUGUGGCUGGGGGUGAAAGGCCAAUCAAACCGGGAGAUAGCUGGUUCUCCCCGAAAGCUAUUUAGGUAGCGCCUCGUGAAUUCAUCUCCGGGGGUAGAGCACUGUUUCGGCAAGGGGGUCAUCCCGACUUACCAACCCGAUGCAAACUGCGAAUACCGGAGAAUGUUAUCACGGGAGA
rnacentral:rRNA from 1 species